AGCAGCCGCCGCGGGAAAACAGAGGGUGCGAGCGUUAAUCGGAUUUACUGGGCGUAAAGCGUGCGUAGGCGGCUUCUUAAGUCGGAUGUGAAAUCCCUGAGCUUAACUUAGGAAUUGCAUUCGAUACUGGGAAGCUAGAGUAUGGGAGAGGAUGGUAGAAUUCCAGGUGUAGCGGUGAAAUGCGUAGAGAUCUGGAGGAAUACCGAUGGCGAAGGCAGCCAUCUGGCCUAAUACUGACGCUGAGGUACGAAAGCAUGGGGAGCAAACAGGAUUCGAUACCCCCGUAGUCCCUGUCUCUUAUAC
rnacentral:rRNA from 1 species